rnacentral:lncRNA from 12 species
CUUAGGCUUUAUAGAGAUAAGUAUCAUCCUCAUUUACACAAAACAAUUAACAAAGAUCUGUUCUGACAUUGAAUAAAGGCAGACCGUAAUGGGGGAAAAGUGGGUAGUAUAGCAGCAAAUGUUUUGCUCUAAGAGUCCAGAGGCCUCGAUUAUCAAGUGGGGCCAGGCGAUCAUAACCUGUGUCAUCCCGGCUUCCUUCUCUGCCAAAUGAGGGGGUUGUGCACAAUUUCUUCUCUGUGUUUACUUCCAGCUUUUGCAUUCUGUGACCUUACUGUUCGAUAAUCACUAUAAAUAUCGAUACUCUCAAAGUGGUGCAACUUUUUCUGAGUCACUGAAUUCUUUUGAUCUGGCUGUGCAUCUGCAAGAGCUCAUCCAUUGCCUGCAGAUAGCUACCAGCAGAAAGCUUCUCACUUGGUUACAACCAGUAAGAUAAACCUGUCCCCCAGAAAGUACACUAAGACCCUACACGUUCACAGUUUUUUUUUUAAAGAUUUAUUUAUUUAUUCAUGAGAGACACAGAAAGAGAGAGGCAGAGACAUAGGCAGAGGGAGAAGCAGGCUCCUCACAGGGAGCCCGAUGCGGGACUCGAUCCUGGAUCCCAGGUUCACGACCUGAGCCGAAGGCAGGCAGCCAACCGGUGAGCCACCCAGGCACCCCACAUUCAUGGUUUUGAUAGAGAACCCACUUCAUGGGCCAGCCAGAAGGGAGGGGAAAGAAUCUGAGGGCAUCUUUGGGCUCAUCCGGGCUUUGCAGAAAGACCAGAGCAAAAGGAGGCGGGGGAGGUGGGAUGGGGGGUGAAAUUACGAUUGUGGUGCAAGCUGGGCAGGAGUCAGACUCUGCGGUGGGGUGAUUUUCCCUGGCUGCCCCAACCCCUGUGAAGUGAAGGGAGCGUUGGCCGGAUCACUGGUCCUCACCCCUGUUCUUUCUACAGAUAAGAAACUGACCUGUGCUUCUGUCUUUACAGCCUCUGAUAUCACAGCGUCCCAGAUUCAGCAAAUUGUGAAGUGUCACUGCCGGUCUUCGUUGCAUCCAUUAUGUAUUAUCUUUGAACAUUACUCCGAGUGUGUAGACCUUCCUGUGACUAUGCUCCGCAUUUUCUUCUGGGCAGAGUUGGCAGAGGCGCUGUGCGGUCGCAGACACAGAUGCACGGGCACGCUCACACGGCGCAGCCAGAGCGAGGGGCGGCGGUUCAGGGGGCCCAGUCCCCGUGAUGUGGACUCAUUACAGCUGUGA